CACUCCUGCGGGAGGCAGCAGUGGGGAAUAUUGCACAAUGGGCGCAAGCCUGAUGCAGCCAUGCCGCGUGUAUGAAGAAGGCCUUCGGGUUGUAAAGUACUUUCAGCGGGGAGGAAGGCAAUACGGUUAAUAACCGUGUUGAUUGACGUUACCCGCAGAAGAAGCACCGGCUAACUCCGUGCCAGCAGCCGCGGUAAUACGGAGGGUGCAAGCGUUAAUCGGAAUUACUGGGCGUAAAGCGCACGCAGGCGGUCUGUCAAGUCGGAUGUGAAAUCCCCGGGCUCAACCUGGGAACUGCAUUCGAAACUGGCAGGCUUGAGUCUUGUAGAGGGGGGUAGAAUUCCAGGUGUAGCGGUGAAAUGCGUAGAGAUCUGGAGGAAUACCGGUGGCGAAGGCGGCCCCCUGGACAAAGACUGACGCUCAGGUGCGAAAGCGUGGGGAGCAAACAGGAUUAGAUACCCCUGUAGUCC
rnacentral:rRNA from 1 species